rnacentral:rRNA from 1 species
CUGGCUCAGGACGAACGCUAGCGGCGCGCCUAAGGUAUGCAAGUCGAACGGACCCGCAAGGUUAGUGGCGAACGGUCGAGUAACACGUAGACAACCUGCCUCCGCAGUGGGGGAUAACAGCCCGAAAGCGUCUAAUACCGCAUGUGGCCUGAAAGUGAUGCUUUCAGUGCUAAAGGAGCAAUUCGCUGGGAGAUGGGUCUGCGGCCUAUCAGGUAGUUGGUGGGGUAACGGCCUACCAAGCCGACGACGGGUAGCUGGUCUGAGAGGAUGAUCAAGCCGGACGGGGACUUAGACAAGGCCCCGACUUCUUCGGGAGGCAAGCAAUGAGGAAUCUUGCACAAUGGGCGAAAGCUUGAUGCAAGCGACGCCGCGUGGGUGAGGAAGUUCUUCGGAAUGUAAAGCCCUUUUACCGGGGACGAUUAAUGACGGUACCCGGUGAAUAAGCCCCGCUUAACUACGUGCCAGCAUGCCGCGGUAAUACGUAGGGUGCGAGCCUUGUCCCGAUUUACUGGGCGUAAAGAUCGCGUAGGCGGAAGCUUAAGUGUUGCCUCAUAGCCCCCGCUUCAACCAGGGAGGGUGGCUGCAAACUGGGCUUCUAGAGCGAGAUAAAGGAAAGUAGAAUUCCGCGGUCUAGCACGUGAAAAUACGUAAAGAUCCAGCACGAACACCAGUGCCGAAGGCAGCUUUCUCGGGUCCCGCCCUCACGCUGAGGCGCGAAAGCGUGGGGACCGAACGGGAUUAGAUACCGCGGUAGUCCACGCCGUAAACGAUGGUCACUAGAUGUGUGCGGUAUCGACCCCGCACUUGUCGCACUAACGCACUAAUUGACCCGCCUGGGGAGUACGGCCGCAAGGUUGAAACUCAAAGGAAUUGACGGGGGCCCGCACAAGCGGUGGAGCAUGUGGAUUAAUACGUCACUAACCGUAGAACCUUACCCAGGCUUGACAUCUGUGUAAUCCCCUUGAAAGGGGGGAGUUGCCUCGCAAGAGAAGCCACAAGACAGUUGUUGCAUGGCUGUCGUCAGCUCGUUGUCGUUGAGAUGUUGGGUUAAGUCCCGCAACGAGCGCAACCCUCACCGUAUGUUGCCAGCGUAAAGUCGGGCACUCUUGCGGAACUGCCCGGGUAACCGGGAGGAAGGUGGGGACGACGUCAAGUCAGCAUGGCCCUUACGCCUGGGGCUUCACACAUGCUACAAUGGCCGGUACAGAGGGCUCCGAUACCGCGAGGUGGAGGCAAUCCCAAAAAGCCGGUCUCAGUUCGGAUUGCAGGCUGCAACUCGCCUGCAUGAAGUUGGAAUCGCUAGUAACGGCCGGUCAGCUAAACGGCCGUGAAUACGUUCCCGGGCCUUGUACACACCG